CGGGUGCGUCGCUUGGUAUUGAAGGGUGCAUCUGUUAAUCAUCCGGAGCUCAUAAAAUGGUGAACAUGGAAUGUAACAUAUGAUGAUUGGUCUCUAGUUUUGGGGGGAUUGUCAUGAAGUACUGGAGAAAAUUCUGUUGUAAUUACAUGAUAGCGAGGGCUUAUGCUUUGUUUGGGUUCUUGUUUCCUCUUUCCUUUUUUUUUUGCCCCCCAAAGUGGCUUUCGGGUUUUAGUUCUUGC
rnacentral:lncRNA from 1 species